rnacentral:rRNA from 1 species
ACAUGCGACCACAGGCAGUGGAGAACAUGGGAUCCCGUCCGCUCUCCCCUAAUUAAGUCGCUGACCGCCGGAGUAGUAGUUGGGUCGGUGACGACCAGCGAAUUCCCGGUGUUGCAUGUU